ensembl:lncRNA
CACGGUUGCUGUUCACACCCUUUGGGAGCUACUGAUCUGCCUGCCUCCGACUGGACUUUUCUUUUCUGUGCCAAUGACUUCACACUUUUCUCGAGUACCAGAACACAUAGCACCCACCUGUGACAAGCAUGAUCAGGAGACUGAGAUCACUGUGAAUUUACACCAAAUGCAACAAGAAAGAGGGAACAGCUGCGACAAGGUUUUCUGAUGUGGAGUGAAAGGGCUUUGAAGCUGCUUUGUGUCCCCAGCAGCUCUAGAGAAAUGAAAGGGAAAAAAAUAAAAAAGGAGCAGAAAUGUGUUUAAAUCACCUCAGAGAUGAGACAGACCUUUAUAACGCUGAGAACCAGCCACAGGAAGGUGAAGCCAUAAAUAUUGUCACACUAAACCAACUGUAAAGAGGCUCACUUCAUUCCUUGUGAUCUGAAGAUAUUUCUGGGGGUAAGCAGUGCAAGAAGAAGGAAUGACAUUGAGGCAUUCACCGAAGGAAAGUCAAGUGCGUGAACAUGAUGCAUCAGAGAAGCAGUGAUGGAAAAGCCAAGCAAUGCAGUUGAAAUAAGCAGUGAGAUAAAGGUAGAGAAAGCUUCCGGCCUAAGUACAGAUGAACAAAGUUGUUCAUUCCAUCAGCUUGUUUUCUGCUGUUGUUUGACUUCUGUUAUGCUAAAGGAAAUGCGAUUUAGUUACAAUCUCUGAAAAUUACCAAGACCAGGUCAAAGUUUCCAGAUUCUG